rnacentral:tRNA from 2 species
UAGGAAGUGGUGUAAUGGGAGCACGAAGAGUUUUGAUCUCUUUGGUAGGAGUUCGAUCCUCCUUUUUCUAA